rnacentral:rRNA from 1 species
UACGGGUGGUGCUAGUGUUAAUCCUCGUGACUUGGCGUAAAGGAUAUGUAGACGGAAAGAAGAUUUUUAGAUUGAAUAGAAAAAACAAUUUUUUUGAACUUUUUUUCUAGAGUAGUAAAGACAAUUUUGGAAUUUCCUGCAUUAGGAUUAAAAAAAUGAUUGACACAGGAAAGAACACCAAAGGCAAAGGCAUAAAUUGAUUUACUACUGACGUUGAGAUAUGAAGGCAUGGGAAGCAAAUAGG